AGUGAACGCUGGCGGUAGGCCUAACACAUGCAAGUCGAACGGCAGCACAGUAAGAGCUUGCUCUUACGGGUGGCGAGUGGCGGACGGGUGAGGAAUACAUCGGAAUCUACUUUUUCGUGGGGGAUAACGUAGGGAAACUUACGCUAAUACCGCAUACGACCUACGGGUGAAAGCAGGGGAUCUUCGGACCUUGCGCGAUUGAAUGAGCCGAUGUCGGAUUAGCUAGUUGGCGGGGUAAAGGCCCACCAAGGCGACGAUCCGUAGCUGGUCUGAGGGGAUGAUCAGCCACACUGGAACUGAGACACGGUCCAGACUCCUACGGGAGGCAGCAGUGGGGAAUAUUGGACAAUGGGCGCAAGCCUGAUCCAGCCACACCGCGUGGGUGAAGAAGGCCUUCGGGUUGUAAAGCCCUUUUGUUGGGAAAGAAAAGCAGCAGGUUAAUACCCCGCUGUUCUGACGGUACCCAAAGAAUAAGCACCGGCUAACUUCGUG
rnacentral:rRNA from 1 species